rnacentral:rRNA from 1 species
GACGAACGCUGGCGGCGUGCUUAACACAUGCAAGUCGAACGGAAAGGCCCUGCUUUUGUGGGGUGCUCGAGUGGCGAACGGGUGAGUAACACGUGAGUAACCUGCCCUUGACUUUGGGAUAACUUCAGGAAACUGGGGCUAAUACCGGAUAGGAGCUCCUGCUGCAUGGUGGGGGUUGGAAAGUUUCGGCGGUUGGGGAUGGACUCGCGGCUUAUCAGCUUGUUGGUGGGGUAGUGGCUUACCAAGGCUUUGACGGGUAGCCGGCCUGAGAGGGUGACCGGCCACAUUGGGACUGAGAUACGGCCCAGACUCCUACGGGAGGCAGCAGUGGGGAAUAUUGCACAAUGGGCGGAAGCCUGAUGCAGCAACGCCGCGUGCGGGAUGACGGCCUUCGGGUUGUAAACCGCUUUCGCCUGUGACGAAGCGUGAGUGACGGUAAUGGGUAAAGAAGCACCGGCUAACUACGUGCCAGCAGCCGCGGUGAUACGUAGGGUGCGAGCGUUGUCCGGACUUAUUGGGCGUAAAGGGCUCGUAGGUGGUUGAUCGCGUCGGAAGUGUAAUCUUGGGGCUUAACCCUGAGCGUGCUUUCGAUACGGGUUGACUUGAGGAAGGUAGGGGAGAAUGGAAUUCCUGGUGGAGCGGUGGAAUGCGCAGAUAUCAGGAGGAACACCAGUGGCGAAGGCGGUUCUCUGGGCCUUUCCUGACGCUGAGGAACGAAAGCGUGGGGAGCGAACAGGCUUAGAUACCCUGGUAGUCCACGCUGUAAACGGUGGGUACUAGGUGUGGGGUCCAUUCCACGGGUUCCGUGCCGUAGCUAACGCUUUAAGUACCCCGCCUGGGGAGUACGGCCGCAAGGCUAAAACUCAAAGGAAUUGACGGGGCCCCGCACAAGCGGCGGAGCAUGCGGAUUAAUUCGAUGCAACGCGUAGAACCUUACCUGGGUUUGACAUGGAUCGGGAGUGCUCAGAGAUGGGUGUGCCUCUUUUGGGGUCGGUUCACAGGUGGUGCAUGGCUGUCGUCAGCUCGUGUCGUGAGAUGUUGGGUUAAGUCCCGCAACGAGCGCAACCCUUGUUCACUGUUGCCAGCACGUUAUGGUGGGGACUCAGUGGAGACCGCCGGGGUCAACUCGGAGGAAGGUGGGGAUGACGUCAAGUCAUCAUGCCCCUUAUGUCCAGGGCUUCACGCAUGCUACAAUGGCUGGUACAGAGAGUGGCGAGCCUGUGAGGGUGAGCGAAUCUCGGAAAGCCGGUCUCAGUUCGGAUUGGGGUCUGCAACUCGACCUCAUGAAGUCGGAGUCGCUAGUAAUCGCAGAUCAGCAACGCUGCGGUGAAUACGUUCCCGGG